rnacentral:rRNA from 1 species
UUGGAGGGCAAGUCUGGUGCCAGCAGCCGCGGUAAUUCCAGCUCCUAUAGCGUAUAUUAAAGUUGUUGCAGUUAAAAAGCUCGUAGUUGAAUUUCGGGGUCAGUAGUUUGGUCAUGCCACAGGUAUGUACUGAUCUUACUGAUUCCUCCUUCCUGAUGAACCGUAAUGCCAUUAAUUUGGUGUUGCGGGGAAACUGGACUGUUACUUUGAAAAAAUUAGAGUGUUUAAAGCAGGCUAACGCUUGAAUACAUUAGCAUGGAAUAAUGAAAUAGGACGUUCGAUCCUAUUUUGUUGGUUUCUAGGAUUGACGUAACGAUUAAUAGGGAUAGUUGGGGGCAUUAGUAUUCAAUUGUCAGAGGUGAAAUUCUUGGAUUUAUUGAAGACUAACUACUGCGAAAGCAUUUGCCAAGGAUGUUUUCAUUAAUCAAGAACGAAAGUUAGGGGAUCGAA